ACGAACGCUGGCGGCGUGCUUAACACAUGCAAGUCGAACGGUGAAGCGCCUUCCUUUUUGGUGGGUGUGGAUGAGUGGCGAACGGGUGAGUAACACGUGAGUAACCUGCCCCCUUCUUCUGGAUAACCGCAUGAAAGUGUGGCUAAUACGGGAUAUUCUGGGUCUGUCGCAUGAUGGGUCUGGGAAAGAUAUUGUUUCGGUGGGGGAUGGGCUCGCGGCCUAUCAGCUUGUUGGUGGGGUGAUGGCCUACCAAGGCGGUGACGGGUAGCCGGCCUGAGAGGGUGGACGGUCACGCUGGGACUGAGACACGGCCCAGACUCCUACGGGAGGCAGCGGUGGGGAAUAUUGCACGAUGGGCGCAAGCCUGAUGCAGCGACGCCGCGUGAGGGAUGGAGGCCGUCGGGUUGUGAACCUCUUUCGCCAGUGAAGCAGGCCUGCCUCGUUUGUGGGUGGGUUGACGGUAGCUGGAUAAGAAGCGCCGGCUAACUACGU
rnacentral:rRNA from 1 species